UACGGGGGGGGCAAGCGUUGUUCGGAAUUACUGGGCGUAAAGGGCUCGUAGGCGGCCAACUAAGUCAGACGUGAAAUCCCUCGGCUUAACCGGGGAACUGCGUCUGAUACUGGAUGGCUUGAGUUUGGGAGAGGGAUGCGGAAUUCCAGGUGUAGCGGUGAAAUGCGUAGAUAUCUGGAGGAACACCGGUGGCGAAGGCGGCAUCCUGGACCAACACUGACGCUGAGUGAGCGAAAGCCAGGGGGAGCAAAACGGGG
rnacentral:rRNA from 1 species